rnacentral:other from 1 species
AGUUACCAAUGUAGGGUACAGAGGUAAGAUGUUCUAUCUUUCAGACCUUUUACUUCACGUAAUCGGAUUUAGCUGAAUAUUAGCUGCCCCAGUCAUCUUUUUUGACUGGGGCGUUUUUUU